rnacentral:rRNA from 1 species
AGGGCGCAUGGCGGAUGCCUUGGCUCUCGGAGGCGAUGAAGGACGUGAUAAGCUGCGAUAAGCUUUGGGGAGGUGCAAAUGACCUUUGAUCCAGAGAUUUCCGAAUGGGACAACCCAAUAUCUUGAAGAGGUAUUAUCCAACGUUGUUGGAGGCUAACGCAGGGAACUGAAACAUCUUAGUACCUGCAGGAAAAGAAAAUAAACAAUGAUUCCCCCAGUAGUGGCGAGCGAACGGGGAACAGCCCAAACCAUCCAUGUUACGGCAUGGGUGGGGUUGUAGGACUACGCCGUUGCAUGAAGACAUCAGAGAAGAACUUUCUGGAAAGAAAGACCAUAGAGCAUGACAGUUGCGUAUUCGAAUGUUGUCGAAGCAUAGUAGUAUCCUGAGUAGCGCGGAGCACGAGGAAUUCUGCGUGAAUCUGCCGGGACCAUCCGGUAAGGCUAAAUACUCCCGAGAGACCGAUAGCGAACCAGUACCGUGAGGGAAAGGUGAAAAGCACUUCGAACAGAAGAGUGAAAUAGUUCCUGAAACCGUGCGCCUACAAGCGGUCGGAGCUCGUUAAUGAGUGACGGCGUGCCUUUUGCAUAAUGAACCUACGAGUUGCCUUUGCCGGCAAGGUUAAGUGUGACGACACACGUAUCCGAAGCGAAAGCGAGUCUGAACAGGGCGUAUAGUCGGCAGUGGCAGACGCGAAACCAAGUGAUCUACCCUUGGCCAGGUUGAAGGCUGGGUAACACCAGCUGGAGGACCGCACCAAUAAGCGUUGAAAAGCUUCUGGAUGAGCUGAGGGUAGGGGUGAAAGGCUAAUCAAACUUGGAGAUAGCUCGUACUCCCCGAAAUGCAUUUAGGUGCAGCCUUGCGGGUUACUGAUGUGAGGUAGAGCGACUGAUAAGAUGCGAGGGCUUCACCGCCUAUCAAGUCUUGACAAACUCCGAAUGCGCAUCAGUUCUACCGCAGGAGUGAGGGCAUGGGUGCUAAGGUCCGUGCCCGAGAGGAGAAGAAUCCGGACCACCUGCUAAGGUCCCGAAAUGACAGCUAAGUUAAACUAACGAAGUCUGACUGCUAAGACAGCUAGGAUGUUGGCUUGGAAGCAGCCAUUCAUUUAAAGAGUGCGUAACAGCUCACUAGUCGAGGAGUCGGGCGUGGAUAAUAAUCGGGUAUCAAGUUGUCUACCGAAGCAGUGGGAUCAUUAAUAUGAUCGGUAGGGGAGCAUUCCAGUCGGCGUCGAAGGCGUACCGUGAGGUAUUCUGGAGCGUCUGGAAAAGCAAAUGUAGGUAUAAGUAACGAUAAAGGGGGCGGGAAACCCCCUCGCCGAAAGACUAAGGUUUCCUGAUCAACGCUAAUCGGAUCAGGGUCAGUCGGGUCCUAAGGCUCAGCCGAACGGCGAUGCCGAUGGCAGAAACGGUUAAUAUUCCGUUACUACCUUCAGGAGUGACGUGGAGACGCAGUAGUGACAGUGCCGCCAUCUGACGGAAUAGAUGGUUGAAGGGUGUAGGAGUCGAUCAUGGCAGGCAAAUCCACCAUGAGAUCCGAACCUGAUAGUAUGCCGCGUCCUUCGGGACAAGGCAAUAGUGCGCGUAAGCAUGCUGCCGAGAAAAUCCGCUAAACUUAAUCCUGGAGGUACCCGUACCGCAAACGGACACACGUAGUCGGGAUGAAUAUUCUAAGGCGCUUGAGUGAUUCACGGUUAAGGAACUAGGCAAACUGACCCUGUAACUUCGGGAUAAAGGGUCCCUACCCUUUUAUGGGAGGGCGCAGAGAAUCGGUCCAGGCAACUGUUUAACAAAAACACAGGGCUGUGCCAAAUCGAAAGAUCCAGUAUACAGCCUGACACCUGCCCGGUGCUGGAAGGUUAAGAGGAGAUGUCAUCGAUAAGAGAAGCGUUGAAUUGAAGCCCCAGUAAACGGCGGCCGUAACUAUAACGGUCCUAAGGUAGCGAAAUUCCUUGUCGGGUAAGUUCCGACCUGCACGAAUGGUGUAAUGAUCUGGACGCUGUCUCAACCGUGAGCUCAGUGAAAUUGUAGUAUCGGUGAAGAUGCCGAUUACCCGCGAUGGGACGAAAAGACCCCGUGAACCUUUACUAUAGCUUAUCAUUGAAUCUGGGCACGUGAUGUGUAGGAUAGGUCGGAGGCUUUGAAGCAGGUACGCCAGUAUUUGUGGAGCCGCUGUUGAAAUACGACCCUUUAUUUGUUUGGAUUCUAACCCGUGGAUACGGGGACAUUGAUUGGUGGGUAGUUUGACUGGGGUGGUCGCCUCCAAAAGCGUAACGGAGGCUUCUAAAGGUGCCCUCCGGCCGAUUGGUAACCGGCCUUAGAGUGUAAUGGCAUAAGGGCGCUUGACUGGGAGACUGACAAGUCGAUCAGGUAGGAAACUAGAGCAUAGUGAUCCGGUGUUUCCGUAUGGAAGGGACAUCGCUCAAAGGAUAAAAGGUACUCCGGGGAUAACAGGCUGAUCCCUCCCAAGAGCUCAUAUCGACGGAGUGGUUUGGCACCUCGAUGUCGGCUCGUCACAUCCUGGGGCUGGAGAAGGUCCCAAGGGUUGGGCUGUUCGCCCAUUAAAGUGGCACGCGAGCUGGGUUCAGAACGUCGUGAGACAGUUCGGUCUCUAUCUAUCGUGGGCGUAUGAAAUUUGCGUGGCUCUGACACUAGUACGAGAGGACCGUGUUGGACAGACCUCUGGUUUGCCGGUUGUGCCGCCAGGUGCAUUGCCGGGUAUCUAAGUCUGGAUCGGAUAAGUGCUGAAAGCAUCUAAGUACGAAGCCGGCCACAAGAUUAGAUUUCUCAGGGUCGUUGU